rnacentral:rRNA from 1 species
UACAGAGGUCGCAAGCGUUAUCCGGAUUCACUGGGUUUAAAGGGUGCGUAGGUGGGCAGGUAAGUCAGUGGUGAAAUCUCCGGGCUUAACUCGGAAACUGCCAUUGAUACUAUCUGUCUUGAAUACCGUGGAGGUCAGCGGAAUAUGUCAUGUAGCGGUGAAAUGCUUAGAUAUGACAUAGAACACCAAUUGCGAAGGCAGCUGGCUACACGAAUAUUGACACUGAUGCACGAAAGCGUGGGGAUCAAACAGG